AUCUCGGGAAGGAGAGCACUCAUGCCUGGAACACACAGGCAAGUCCUGAAGUCAUCACUGGGUUGCAGAUUUUAAAACAGAAAACCUUUGCAUGAUGGCAGGAAACCAGGUAAGAGUUCUUAUUUAAUUCUUCAAACUCUUAGCAAGUUCUGUAAACUGUAAAUGCUUAUUGAGUCUUUCCACCACCAAAUAUACCAUAACGUGUCUCUAUAAACUACAAUUUAUAGUAGACAAUUAACAAUCAUUUAGUAAGAUUGAAUAAAACAAAUGAAACCAAAUUGAAAAAUAAGUUGAUUAACAAGUUAAAAUUACUUUUUCAGAAAAGAAAUAACCUACUUUUUUUCAGACAAAAAUAACCUACCUUUUUCAGAAAAAAAUGGCCUACUGAAACAGUAAAUGAAGCAGAAUCUCUUCUGAUUCUAUCCAAACUGCACUGCAUCUAAUAAUUUUGAAGACAAUAGCUAAAGUGAGGUCCAAUCUUGGGACACAACAAAUAACUCCUCUAAAUUCCCCUUCUUAGAUUUCACUUAAGUAGCAGAAUGAGUAGCUCUGGGAAAACUUCCAAUAGGAUAGUGAAAAUAUUGGCUUGUUCCUAUCAUAGGGAGUGAUGUUUUCCAUGAUGUAUGGGAUACAGUACUAGCAAGGAGGAAGCUGUGCUCAGUCGAACCACGGGAGGACAAUCUGGUAUUUUACUAUAUAGUAUCCAAAUCCUUGGCUGACACAUGCAUCUUUCACAAAGAUGGCUAAGGAUGAGGUUUCAGAGCUGCCUGCUGGGCCCUGGUUAUCUACCCCUAACACAAGCCCAGUUUCUCCUCGAGUAACUGAAUGCUUCUUUCCCUAUAAAAACCCCACACCGUGUGCAUAUUUAUUAUAUAAGGUUUGAGAGUAUCAUGUCCAAGGGUGAGACUAUGCCACCUGCUUAGUCAGUCAGAAAACAUUUCCCAAGACUAAUGAUCAGGUGAGAAGUCUGAUAGAAAUGAGAGCCAAACUCAAUUUUUUUGUGUGUUAUUGAGAAAAGUCAUCCCUUUCCUCCAUAAUAUGUUUCCUGAGAAGAGAGACUAUAGCUUCUGCUUGUAAUAUAAGCUGAGACAGCCUGAUAAAAUUUGGAGUCAACACAAAAGAAGAAGAGACAACAGACAGGCACACACACACACAAACAAAAAAACCCCAGUUCUAACUAGAAAAUAUCAACUGUACCUUUUUUCCUGUUUCAAAUUAUCAUUUAUUCAUUUUAAUCAUUUUAACCCUUGUUUACACUAUCAGUUUCUCACACUAGUGAAACUAUUCAGUAUUUACACGUGUGUCCUAUUUAUUUCACUUAAGAGUAUGGCCUUGAUAUGCAUCCAUUUAGGAAAAAAUGUCCAAAGACGAAGGAGUGAAGGGAGGGGAAGGGGAAAGGAAAAGAGGGAAAGGAAAAAUUAUGAGAAAAGAAAAAAAAAUGGAAAUGAAAUCUAUGUAAAUAGGGAAGGGCGGAGAGGGUGAAGGGCACACAGGUAAUGGGGAAAAAAAUAAGAACCAAGAUACAUCAUGUACAGGUACAAACACUCAAUGAUAAAUGUAAACGAAUUGUAUACCUAAAAUGUACCAAUAAAAUAUACCAAUAAAAUUAAUUUUUAAAAAACAUAAACUGUAGAUUCACCCUUCCCAAACUAUUUUACUAUGUUUUAUUUAUAUUAUUAGUUUUAGUAUAUUAAAUAAUAUAAUACUUAGAAACUCAACACCAAUGCUGAAAACUAAUGUGUUAUGAACAAUUAAAUCUUUUUCUCUCUUAUUCCUUUUCUCAACCUAAAAGUAAGAUUCGGAUUUUAAUGUAUAAUUAUCUUAUUUCUUAAAAAUAAUUUAUCUUUUUAAUAUUUAUUGGUUUUAAUGUUGGCUGAGUUAGUAUACUGUUUGCAUAAUUUUCAGAAUUUAAUUUUCCAUUCAUCAUUAAGUAACUAAGUUUUACAUCAGUUAGUUUUUGAAUGUAGUUGUAUAAUUAUCUUCACUGUUAUAACAUUUCAUUAUGUGAAUGCUUCAUCAUUACCCAUUAUUCUGUCAAUGAAUAUUUGACUACUAGAAGAAUGAAUUCAUAACAUUUUAAAACUAUUUCCUAGGAAUCCAACUGAUGGGUUGAAGAUGUGACAAUAUUCAUCUUUCUAGGAUAACAUCACACAUUUCCACAAGUAGUAUAGGACAUAAAAUCCAUGUACACCUCCCCCAAAGAGUGCCAUAUAUUUGUGAACCAAUUUAGUAACUUCCACACUAUGAGAAAAAGAUUGAUAUGAAGAAUCUUCUACUUUGUUUUUGUUUUAACUGGGUGCAUGCAUAAAUCUGUAAUCCCCCAAAUCCUGGGUUUGUAUUUUUAAUAUCAAUUCAUUGGUGCCAUGUAUGAAAUAAAAUGUCCUGAAUAUUAUGAUAUACUCCCUAAGAAACAGCUUCUUUGAGACAUAAAGACUGACUAUGUAUAAGAUUAUAUGUGAUCUAGAAUGUUAGAUUUGAGGUAUGAUGAUACUUGUAUUGAUGAGAAAUAUAUCCACAAAAAUAUUUCUUCUACUCCUACAUACUUACAUUAAUUAGAGGCAACUUGCAGGGGUAAUCGGAGGUGUAAUAGUGAAAAAGGCCUUAGGAUACUGAAUCAAAACAGAGUUCUUUCUUUCCUAACAAAUUCCCUCAGAUGAAAAGCCUAACCAAGUAGCACAGAAUCUCCAGUUUGGAAAAUGAUGCAUCUUCUCUACUCUGUUACUGAUUUGUUUCACAACUCAAAUAUAAAUGGACUUCCAGAACCUCUAGUCUUAAAUGAACUUUUGCAGGCAGAUAUUUUUGCCUAUAAGAAAUUCCUUGGGGCCAGGCAUUUAGCUCAGUGGUUCUGCCACCUGGCUCACAAGCACAAGUUCCUGAGUUCAAUUCCCGGUACCCCCCAAAAGAAAUUCCUUAAAGUGCCGAGCUCAAAAGGGCUGCCUAGUCAAAGAUUUAGCUUCAUCCUAUUCAGUAGUUUCAAGCCCAAAAAUGAUUAACUUGGUGAUAUAAAGAGAUUUAUAGGCAUAGAGCAAGUGGCUCUCUAGGUUGUAAUUUCGUGGGGCCAUAAGGUACACAGAGGCGGCUGGAAGGACGCAUUCUUCAGAUGAGCUCCAGCCCUUGUCUCUGCCUCAAGAUGUGAGGAAGGAAAGUGGCCCUCCCAGGGGUGUCUGCCAAGCUGUGGUCAGCGCCUCCUUCCCACAGUCUCCUGGUCCCCAAGGCUGACGCAAGUCCUUAAUUAAUCCGAAUAGCUGUUGCCAACACCAUUUCCACACUAACAGGCACUGUUGCUUUGAAAAUCCCUGGAGAAAACUUCCAGCAGCCACAAUUUUCUUGGCAAACAGUUUAGGAGCUGAGUCUUAAUACUGAGCUCUGGAAAAUGGCUCCUACUGGUGGGGCCAAGUCCCUCAACAUGACGUUACUAGGUCACAGCCUUGCUCCGUGUUGCUCUCUAGCCAAGAGUGGUCACCAAGACCUCUCUUCUUUCUCUCUGUCCAUGAGUCCACGCCAGCCUUCCUUUGCAAGAGCAUCCUCCUGAGAUAAGCCCUUUCCUGUUCCUCUCACACCACGGGCACAGCUCCAGUCACUUGAGGCUUGAGUGUUCCUUGGAAUUCUCUGGUUUUGAUAAACAUGGCCCCUGAGAGUUCCCUUGUACUGUGUAGACAAUUAUUCAAAUGUGAGAAUUUGUUGAAGGGUUUUAAGUGAAAAUAUUCUGCAGUUCAGCUUCAGCUUUCAUAUUCAGCCAACUUAAUCAAUUUAAUCUUCUGCAUUUGACAGGCAGAAGAGCUGAAUGCCAACAUUGUCAUUUCUGAUAUGGUUACCCAAUGGCAACACAACUGCAUAGAUUGCCAUCAUAUCCAACCUGAAUGACGACACUAUGACAAUCAGUCACAUAAAUCAGAGUCAUUGUCACUCUCAUAUACCUCUUGAGAUGAUAUGAGAUGAAAAGUGACAUCUUCAGCCAAAGCAUCCACCGUGACGGAUUGCGCUGCUUCUGUUCCAAAGCAAGAGAGCCAAGUUGCCAUGGACUGAAGCCUCCAAAACUAUGAGCCCAAAUAGACCUUUCCUCUUUUCAAAGUUGAUUAUCUCAGGGAUGUUGUCAAAGUGGCAGUGUGCUUGCUCAUACACACCCGCACACAUUCACAUACAUACAGUUCCUUAAGAUAUAUGAAAUUCAUGUGAUGGUAAUGCUACAGAAUGAUGACACUGGAAGGGGUCUGGAUGAAUCCUUCCAAUAAGAUGUUGAAGAAAUAUUUCCAGGAUAAGGCAGACAACAGGAAAAAAAGCAAAGCUAAGAAGAUGGAUACUGGGUGUCUUGGCACCUUUUCUUUUGUUGUAACAAAAUACCUAAUGCUAGGGACUUUAUAAUGCUCAUUAUUUAGCUCACAGUUUUGGAGGCCCCUAGUGAGGGCCUCGUGGCAGAUAGCAUCACAGUGGCAGGGGCACACAUGGAAGACAAAACAGGAAGAAUGACUCAUGGGCCAGGCUUGCUCUUCUCAUGACAACCCAGUGUGUUCAGACUGAAAUCACCCAGUGAAAGCAGCCUUAUUCCUUCCAAUGCCAAAGGCCCAUAAUAUAAUCACCAUUAUGAGGCUCUUUCUCUAAAGCUUUUCCACCUCGCUACUACCACACAAGGGACCGAGUUUCCAGCAUGUGAACCUUUGGGGUAACUUAAACCACAGUCAAACCACAGCACGGACUCAAAUUAAAAUGCAGUCACCAGAAAGAUGGCAAAUAAGCUCUUCAUCCAUGGGUGCUGUAGGUACCUGUUCUGGUCCACACAAACAUUACCAAACUGAUUUCUCUGGACAGUUUCCUGGUGCACUGUGCUCCAACAGAAAAUGGGGAAGGGUUUCUAGCUACAGAAGAACUAACACUUUUCAAGAUUUCAUCAGAGAAAGUUGCCUGCACACCUCAGUAUGCAAGGACAGUCCUGCCUGUCCAUGGGAUGUAGUGAAGUUAGGAUCAGGUCUGUGGAGCACAUCCUGUGGAGGCCCCAUGCGAUUCCUACUGUAAAUCUCUAGACACUCAGGUAGCUGCCCUGCCCACUGAGGUUGGAAACUAUGCUCCAAAGAGCAGCAGCUAAAGGCCAGCCUGUAACAAAAAAUGACACUGUAACAAAGUGACUCUUACAAUAUUUACCAGAAAGUAUAAAAAGAACUGAAAAAAAGCAGACUCCCCAAAUUUAAAGAUCUAAUUCAAAAAUGGGCAUGUGAAAUGAACAGCUAUUUCUCAGACAACGAAGUAAAAGCAGCAAAUAAACAUAUGAAAAAUUGUUUAACAUCACUGGUCAAUCAAGGGAUGCAGAUGAAAACAACACUGAGAUUCCACAUCAGCCCAGAAAGAAUGGCUGCUAUCAUGAAAUCAACCAAUAACAAAUGGUGACGGGUUGUGGGGAGAAAGGAACCCUUCUCCAAUGCUGGUGGGAGUUUAGACUGGUGCAACCACUGUGGAAAUCAGUAUGGAGAUACCUCAAAGAACUAGGACUAGAGGUCCCAUUUGACCCAUUCCUCUGCUGGGUAUUUCCCCAAAAGAAUUAAAAGAAUCAUAUCACAGUGAUAUAUGUGCACCUAUGUUUACAGUGGCACAGUUUGUAAUAGCUAAAGCUUGGAAACAGUCCAAGUGCCCAUCAACUGGAAACUGGACAAAGAAGAUGUGGUUUUUUUAUACAAUGGAGUACUACUCAGCCAUAAAAAAUGAGAAACUAGAGACAUUUAUAGCUAAAUGGAUGCAUAUUGAGGCCAUACUCCUAAGUGAAAUAAAUAGGACACACAUGUGUAAAUACCAAAUAGUUUCUCUAGUGUGAGAAACUGAGAGUGUAAAUAAGGACUAAAAGGAUUAAAAUGAAUAGUUGAUAAUUUGACAUAGGAGGAAAAGGUAAAAAAGUGUCGGGGAAGUGGGAGGGGAAGGGGAAAGGAAAGAAGGGAAAGGAAAAAUUAUGAUGAAAGGAAAAAAAUGGAAACAAAGUCUUUGUAAAUAGGGGAGGUUGGAGGGUUGAAGGGUGCACAGGUAAUGAGGAAAAAAUAAGAACCACGAUCCAUCAUGUACAGGUACAAGCACCCAAUGAUAAAUGUAAACAUAUUGUAUACCUAAAAUGUACCAAUAAAAGAAUUAAG
rnacentral:lncRNA from 1 species